AUUGAACGCUGGCGGCAUGCCUUACACAUGCAAGUCGGACGGCAGCACGGGUGCUUGCACCUGGUGGCGAGUGGCGAACGGGUGAGUAAUACAUCGGAACAUGUCCUGUAGCGGGGGAUAGCCCGGCGAAAGCCGGAUUAAUACCGCAUACGAUCUACGGAUGAAAGCGGGGGACCUUCGGGCCUCGCGCUAUAGGGUUGGCCGAUGGCUGAUUAGCUAGUUGGUGGGGUAAAGGCCUACCAAGGCGACGAUCAGUAGCUGGUCUGAGAGGACGACCAGCCACACUGGGACUGAGACACGGCCCAGACUCCUACGGGAGGCAGCAGUGGGGAAUUUUGGACAAUGGGCGAAAGCCUGAUCCAGCAAUGCCGCGUGUGUGAAGAAGGACUUCGGGUUGUAAAGCACUUUUGUCCGGAAAGAAAUCCUUGGCCCUAAUACGGUCGGGGGAUGACGGUACCGGAAGAAUAAGCACCGGCUAACUACGUG
rnacentral:rRNA from 1 species